UCUCUCAUCAUAUAUUUCUUUCUUAUGUUAUGUGCAUUGACGCGGCUAGAUCUUGACUAUCUCAGCAUCUCUUUUCCCUAUGUCUUCUCUCUUUCUUUACUUAACAGCACUUCUUCUUUGAACAGUCUUCCUUUCGCCAAACCUUUCAAAACCGUUUAAGCCCAAUUUUUGCCAUUUUUUUAAAAUUUUUUUGAGCUUUGGGUUUUCUCCAAUCUACGAACUAAAGUAGAUUUGUCAACUUUGAUGAUGGAAAAAAUUUUUUUUGAACCCAAAAAUUUAAGAAGCAUGAACUAUUACAAGAAAGAAAAGUAGUAAUAGUAGUAGUAGUUGGCAAGUGUUUUGUUCAUGAUUUAACAUUCAACAAAGACAUAUUACUUUCACUAAUAUAUAUGCUUCCAUGUAUAUAUUUUUCUCAUUUUUGGCUUAUUUUCACUUUGCCCUUUUCAGCAGGUUUUGUUUAGGAACCGUAUAUUCUACCUAGGCUUCUCCUUUGGACCUUGCAUCCAUUUGUUAAUGCCACGUUAGCAUAUGCUUGCAGAAGCCACAUAACAAAAAAAAAAAAAAACUAAAAGACCUCAGCCCUUUGCUCUCUCUUCUUUUCUUUGCUUUUUCUCUCUUUCCCUGCAAAUUUCACAUUCCUUCUGAUUACUAAACAGUACUUAGAUUAUCAGUCGUUUUUUGCUGCUGCAGCAUCAUCAAGAUUCACAUGCAAAUAUAGUACGGCAGCCGUGGUCCCUGUACUGCGAUUGUUUUUUUUUCAGAUGCCAUAGAUUUUAUUUGAGCAUGAGAAUCUUGAUGAUGCUGCAGCGGCCAUAAAUGACUUCACAAAAAAAAUCCAUAUAAAUCUUUAUAGAUCUUGAUUUACACUGCUUUUGCAGCUAUAGAAGCACAUGAUGAUCAGAGAUGCAACUAUCAAACUUACAGUUUGAAGAAAUUAAGGUUAGAUAUGAAACUUGUAGUUUCUGUGGUCUAGAAUUCUAGUUAGUGUGAUUUUCUGUCCAUACAAUAACAGUUUCUUUUUGUGUUUUUAUCUUUUUUAGGGUUUAUGGAAUAUAGGGUUUUGUUUGCCUUAAUGAAAAUAUUUUUCUCCAUUUUUGUGCAAUUUUUUUAUCCUACCUUUUGAUUUCUUGAAGCUUAUCAUGAAACUCAAAUGGGGUCUUUUGGAAGGUACUAAUAUCUCAAUGUUUAGUUUGGAUUGGAGAAAUUUUUGCUACCCAUUGCCAAUUUUGUUCUUGACCAUGUCUCUUUAAUUCUUUUAAAUGUCUUAUAAUUUGUUGAAUGAUGCUUUUAGGUACCGUUUUUCAUUGGCAUCCUCAAAUUUUUUAACUUGCUGCCAAUGCAGAUAUGUUUCUGAUUUAUAUUCAGUUUCACUUAAAUCCGGUGUACUCAACAAAAAAGAUUGAAUCAUAAUCUUCCUUAUCAUCUGUUAAUUAUUAAUUUCUUGAAAUAUAAUGACUUUCAGGAUAAAUUCUUGGGUUCUUGAGAGCUACUUAAUUAAGGCAAUGUUUGCUUUCUUCCUCAUUCUUCUCUUCCUUGCUGGCUUAUUCUUCUUAAUAGUUCUCACAUCAGCUGAUUCCUGUCAGCCCCUGAUUUAUUUCCUUUUCCAUGGAUGUUCUGUAUUGAGCGGCAGCUUUCAUGCUCCUGCGCUCAUGGGUGGUACUCUCUUUUGUAUAUUUAAAAGCUAUCAAUGCGUUUAUUUUCUUGGCUGAGCAAAAAGGAAGUUCUCACAUCAGCUACUAUCUGCGAAAUAUAAUGGUUAUUGAGACUUCACCUGAAUCAACCCAAAGUUUCAUUCCUUCUUUUUCUAUUGCUUUAUUCCCCUAGUAACCACUUCCCCUCCAAAAGAAACAUGCAUAUAUUUGAUCUUCCCGUAGACAAUUUAUCUGGUGAUUUUUUCUUUUACUUAACUCUUUAUUUCCCUUGUGACGUUAGAAUAGAUUGGAUACAUAUCUAAUUUUAAUUCAGGAUAUACAUAUGUUUGCUCUAUUUCUAAUAUUCUUAUUUUCUUUGACAUUACCAAGCUUAUGCUCUCAUGUUUUAGAUUGGGGAUAAAUUUCAGUGCACAGAUUUCAUAUAUAUCCAGGUUAGGCAUCUCAAUCAUCUUUCUUGUCGUUCUUUAAGAAAAACCUACAAUAAAACUACUUGUUUUCAACAUUCACAUGAAAAAAAAUGGGCAAAAGGAAAAAAAGGAUUAAUAAAAUAAGAUACUGCUGCUUGUUUCUGACUGGUUUGAGGACAUCACCAGUCAGGAAAAUCCUGGCUGAACGUCCCACGUGCAAAACAAACGAAAAAACAAAAAAUACAUACAGCAUUAGCUGUAACUCUGAAAAAUUGGAAUCAAUAUGAUUCUAAAUGACAAAUCUCCUUGCAAUUAUCUUUCAAUAUUUGCACAUGAUUAUACAUGGGGUCAUCGAUUUGGGGUAAAUGAUUUGAUGGACUCUUGGGGCUAUAUAGGCUCCAUUAUAUGUGAGAAAGGCUGCGAAAUUUAACUUUAUUAUUAUUAUUAUUAUUAUUAUUAUUAUUUUUGGUAUCAGGUUAUAUUUAUCCUUGUAGCAAACGAAUCCAAAGGAGGACCUUGAAAAGAGAAAUAGGUCUAGAAGCCCAUGCAUUAGUUAUAAUCUUCAAUGGAGUUUUUGCUCGGAAGCUGCUGUGGAAACUUGGUUGAGGAACCAGUGAUGUACAUGACAUAUGGUUUCCAAAGGCAAGUGGCUUUCUUGCUUAUCAGCCAUGGAUUUUGAGGAAGAAUCUUAAGCCAAAUCAUGUGGGGCAUUUAGUGACAAAAGCUGUUAUGUCAUUUUGACAAGUGAAAAGGAACUGUGAUGAAUCAUUCCUUCUUCAACAGGUCCACUCAGUCUGGGGAAAAACAACUUAAACAUGCACGAUGUGAUCAUAACAAAUCAAUCUUACUCAACAGAUGUUCCAUGCAUUCAUAGAUAAUUCAUUUCUGAUUUGUGUAUCGGACUCUUUCAUUUCUUGAUCAAA